AAUCAACGCUGGCGGCGUGCCUAACACAUGCAAGUCGAACGCGAAAGCCCCGCAAGGGGUAAGUAGAGUGGCAAACGGGUGAGUAACACGUGGGUGACCUGCCUUCGAGUGGGGGAUAACGUCCCGAAAGGGACGCUAAUACCGCAUAUUCUGUGAGCAGGAAAGCAGGGGAUCGCAAGACCUUGCGCUGAUUGAGCGGCCGAUAUCAGAUUAGCUAGGUGGUGAGGUAAAGGCUCACCAAGGCGACGAUCUGUAGCGGGUCUGAGAGGAUGAUCCGCCACACUGGAACUGAGACACGGUCCAGACUCCUACGGGAGGCAGCAGUGGGGAAUUUUGGACAAUGGGCGCAAGCCUGAUCCAGCAAUGCCGCGUGCAGGAAGAAGGCCUUCGGGUUGUAAACUGCUUUUGUACGGAACGAAACGGUCCUGGUUAAUACCUGGGGCUAAUGACGGUACCGUAAGAAUAAGCACCGGCUAACUACGUGCCAGCCGCCGCCGUAA
rnacentral:rRNA from 1 species